AACGAACGCUGGCGGCAGGCCUAACACAUGCAAGUCGAACGCUCCGCAAGGGGAGUGGCGCACGGGUGAGUAACACGUGGGAACCUACCUUCUGGUACGGAACAACCAAGGGAAACUUUGGCUAAGACCGUAUACGACCUCCGGGUGAAAGAUUGAUCGCCGGAAGAGGGGCCCGCGUCCGAUUAGGUAGUUGGUGAGGUAACGGCUCACCAAGCCUUCGAUCGGUAGCUGGUCUGAGAGGAUGACCAGCCACACUGGGACUGAGACACGGCCCAGACUCCUACGGAGGCAGCAGUGGGGAAUAUUGGACAAUGGGCGCAAGCCUGAUCCAGCCAUGCCGCGUGAGUGAUGAA
rnacentral:rRNA from 1 species